rnacentral:tRNA from 1 species
GCCUGGCUGGCUCAGUCAAUAGAGCAUCCAACUCUUGAUUUCGAGGUAAUGAGUUCAAGUCUCAUGUUGAGCA